rnacentral:rRNA from 1 species
GACGAACGCUGGCGGCGUGCUUAACACAUGCAAGUCGAACGGAAAGGCCCUGCUUUUGUGGGUUGCUCGAGUGGCGAACGGGUGAGUAACACGUGAGUAACCUGCCCUUGACUUUGGGAUAACUUCAGGAAACUGGGGCUAAUACCGGAUAUGAGCUCCUGCUGCAUGGUGGGGGUUGGAAAGUUUCGGCGGUUGGGGAUGGACUCGCGGCUUAUCAGCUUGUUGGUGGGGUAGUGGCUUACCAAGGCUUUGACGGGUAGCCGGCCUGAGAGGGUGACCGGCCACAUGGGGACUGAGAUACGGCCCAGAAUCCUACGGGAGGCAGCAGUGGGGAAUAUUGCACAAUGGGCGGAAGCCUGAGGCAGAAACGCCGCGUGCGGGAUGACGGCCUUCGGGGUGUAAACCGAUUUCGCCGGUGACGAAGCGUGAGUGACGGUAAUGGGUAAAGAAGCACCGGCUAACUACGUG